ensembl:snRNA U6 U6 spliceosomal RNA
GUGCUCACUUCAGCAGCACAUAUACUAAAAUUAGAGUGAUACAGAGAAGAUAAGCAUAGCCCAUGCACAAGGAGGACAGGCAAAUUCGUGUAGUGUUGCAUAUUUUU